rnacentral:rRNA from 1 species
CAAGGGAUCAGGCUAUAUGGUAUCAGCUAGUUGGUGAGGUAAUGGCUCACCAAGGCAAUGACGCCUAACUGGUCUGAGAGGAUGAUCAGUCACACUGGAACUGAGACACGGUCCAGACUCCUACGGGAGGCAGCAGUGGGGAAUAUUACACAAUGGAGGAAACUCUGAUGUAGCAACGCCGCGUGGAGGAUGACACAUUUCGGUGCGUAAACUCCUUUUAUAUGGGAAGAUAAUGACGGUACCAUAUGAAUAAGCACCGGCUAACUCCGUGCC